CGUGUAGGCGGUACGGAAAGUUGGAUGUGAAAGCCCCCGGCUAAACUGGGGAGGUCGUUCAAACUACCGAACUAGAGUGUGGAAGAGGGAGGCGGAAUUCCGGGUGUAGUGGUGAAAUGCGUAGAUAUCCGGAGGAACACCAGAGGCGAAAGCGGCCUCCUGGCCCACAACUGACGCUCAGACGCGAAAGCUAGGGUAGCAAACG
rnacentral:rRNA from 1 species